CUUGUGGGAAUAAGAUGGAGACUCGGGCUGGGCUGAUGGCUUCCGUAGAUUCGUGACAUUUAAGGAGAGUGGCAAGGACAGCUCUCAGAAGAGACCGGCUAAGCCUGGGGCCAGGGAAAAACAGCAUAGCAUGUGGGCACUCACAGGGGAAAGCCAGGUCUUCUAAAACUCCAGGCAAUGGCUGGGAACCUCUAGCAUUUUGGAGCGCCCCCCCCCCCCCCCCGCAUGCUUUCCAGGUUCCCACGAGCACAGGGCUCACCUGUGGACUUGUAGAGAUGCACACGGAGUCUGCGCUCAACUGUCUGUAUUCCUAACAAGUUCUACAGUGGUAUCUGCGCUGAUGACCACACUGAGGAGCCAGGUCCUACCCCCUCACUCGCUAUCUCCUCCUACGUUCAUCUAUGGAGUCUAGGCGGACCCUCAGGGGCCUGCACAGAGGAUCGGAGGAUUGCUGAUUCCUGAUUGGAAGAAUGGAGAGACAGGAAGUAGAAACCGGAAUGAGCUAGUGCUCAGAAACAGGCCUAGAUCUCUCCAGCAUCCAGGUUAAGCAUUCAGAAUAUACAUAUGUUGAAUAUAUAUGUAUAUUAUAUAUGUGUAAUAUGUGAUAAAACACCACCACCAAGAGUAACUUGGGAAAGAAAGGGUUCAUUUUUCCUACACUUCCACAGCACUGUUCGUCAUUGAAGGACGUCGGGGUUGAGGGAGGCAGGAACUAAAGAUGAAGCCAUGGAGAAAUGCUGCUUACUGGCUUGUUCUCCAUGGUUUGCUCAGCCUGCUCUCUUAUCUAACUCAGGACCACCAGUCCAGGAGUAGCAUCGCCCAUGGUGGUCUGGGCCCUCCCAUAUCAAUCACCAAUCAAGAAAAUGCUCCACAGACGCACCUACAGGCAAUCUAACGGAGGAGACAUUUUCUCCGCCCAAGUUCCUCUUCUCAGAUGAUCCCUGCUUGAGUCAAGUUGACAAAAAGCAAACAAACAAACACCAAAACUCAUCCAGGUCGAAACCUAAGACUGUAGGUGCAAAUCCUACUAUUUAAGGUCAUUCUCUCUAUGAGCACUGAGGAAGCCCUGAGGGAAUGAACUGUCUGACAUGGCACCCAUGAUCAAGGCCUCGGACCCAUGGGAAACUGGCCAAGCCUUCCUCUUGUCUGAGUGCAAAUGUUGACAGUGUGUGCAAGUGCAAAUGUUUAUGAGUGGUCAAUGUGUGCAAAAGCCAGCAACUGCAGCUUUCUCCCUCUGCUCCCCUCCGGAAACCUCCUACUGAGAGGAGUGAGCCCCUCUCUCUGCGCUGUUCAGAAAUCAAGGGGCUGAGUUUCCUAGUUGAAGUAGUAGUUUAUGACACUCCGUCAGAGUACACGCAGCCCACCUGACCCAGCUGUUCUAUUUCCUCACUAGACCCAAGCUCUGUGGCCACUCUCUAGGUCUCCUGUGUGUGUGGUGGGGACAGUCACACCCGUGCUAUAAUCCAAGGACCCAGGCUGGCCUUCAACUCACGAUAUAUAUAUGUAUAUGUGUAUGCAUAUGUAUAUAUGUAUAUGUGUAUCACAAUGUAUAUAUAUGUAUGUGUGUAUAUAUGUAUAAGUGUGUGUAUGUGUGUGUGUGUGUGUGUGUGUAUACAUGGAUGACCUUGAACCCCCGAACCUUCUGCCCUCACCUCCCCAGUUCUGGGAUCACAGGUGUGCCAUCACAACCAGUAUUUUUUUUUAAAGAUUUUUUUAUUUAUUUUACAUAUGUGAGUACACUGUAGAGUGAAUAUACUGUAGCUGUCUUCAGACACACCAGAAGAAGGUUUUAGGUACCAUUACAGAUGGUUGUGAGCCACCAUGCGGUUGCUGGGAAUUGAACUCAGGACCUCAGAAAGAGCAGUCGGAGCUCUUAACCACUGAGCCAUCUCUCCAGCCCCAUCACAACCAGUUUUAAGUGGUGCAGGAGACUGAACCCUUUGUGCAUGUUACAUAAACUCCUACCAGCUAGGCUGUAUUUCCAGCCCAACAACUUUUUUGCUUUGUUUUAUUUUCCAAGACAGGUUUUCUCUGUAUAGCCCUGGCUGUCUUGUGACUAGCUAUGUAGACCAGGCUGGCUUCAAAUUCACCAAGAUCUGCCUAUCUCUUCCUCCCAAGUGCUGGGAUUCAAGACAUGCAUCACCACCACCACCACCACCACCUCCACCUCCACCUCCACCACCACCACCACCACCCAGCCCCAAACUAAUUUUUAUUAGAAUGUUAUGAGUAUGCUUCCUGUGUUUUAUUUAAACUAUCUCUAAUCCUUUGAGGAACCAGUUAUAUUAUAUUGACAAUGUGGAAAUCUUCAGAGAACCCCAAAGUGAAGAUACAUGUGUGUGGUGUUACGGCGAGGGGAGGGAAGAAUGAAGAUAUGUGAAUAUGUUAUCUCUGGACGGAACUCGGAGGACUGCUUGUUAAGGCAGAGGCUACACGCUGCUUACUUGGCAGAUCUCAAGCACCGCGUCUCUCCUCGAGGAGCUAAUUGAACCAUUAAACUAUUUUUUGCUGUCUCACAAAACCACAGAGGCUGUGGCUACAUCAUCUUCAAACGUGGAUCCACCAACUGUUUAAACACCACGAACCUGGGGCGAGGCGCGCCCUUUUCUGGAAAGCCCCGGAUGCUGGAAAUCCUAUUUCUCACAUGACCGUGCUGGAGGUCGCAAUCAAUCACUGAAGCCAGUCAGGACAGAAUUAAGGCAUGAACAAAGGAAGAGGCCAUGCAGGAACGCCGUUUAUUGGCUUCUUCACUAUGGCUUGCUCAGCCUGCUCUGGAGCACCUGCCCAGGGACAGCACCCUCCACGACGACCUGGGUUCUCUCUCCUGCAACAAUUAUCAAUCAAGAAAGUACCCCACAGCCUUGCCUACAGGUCAACAGGUUGCCUCUUUCCAGAUGACUGUCGCUUGUGUUAAAAUCAAAAACAAAAACAAACAAACAAAAAAACAAAACUCACCAAACAAACAAACCCUAACCAACACGGAAACUAAGGCAAAGUUGUUUUUUUUUUUUAAGAUUUAUUUAUUUAUUAUAUUUAAGUACACUGUAGCUGCCUUCAGACACACCAGAAGAGGGCAUCAGACCUCUUUAUAGAUGGUUGUGAGCCAGCCUGGAGAGAUGGCUUAGCCAUUAAAGGUUAGGCUCACAACUAAAAAUAUAAGACAAAGUUUUGACAUCUCCAGAAGGCUGCCAAGCCUUCCAGUAAUAAAGAAACAGAUACCCUCCUGAAGGUUUUCUAGUAGACACAGGGGUUCCUUUCUUGGUACCCAGAAACUUGUCUGAUUGCUGCUUCAUUCAUUCCCCUGAUCAGAGUUUCAGCUCUUUCUGGUCCAGACUCUGGGAACAAGGGUAUGCAUGUGAAACACACAACUCUCCUGGGCUCUCCUGAUCUGUAUGCUGGAAUGGUGGGCCCUCUUCCCGUAACUCCUCCUCCUGGCUGCCUGCAUGGUGACCUGGUCCUAUGGGUUCCAGCUAAUCAUGUGUGACACUGCACUAGCAUGCGGCUGAGAAACCUGGGUGUGGGUAUUUGAAAUGGUAUA